UGCAGUGACACUCCCACAGGCAGCUCCUCAUAUCUCUGUAACUACAUGAGACUCUGGCAGUUUGGGUCAGAACAUGGAGAUCAUCAUUAAACAAGGCCUACUCAGAUUGUCAGUCUUUCUGCUGUGGACUCCAGGAUUUAUCGAUGGGAGUGAUGUCACCCAGGAUCCUGGGAUACUGUGGAAAAAAGAGGGUGAAGACGCAACAAUAAACUGCAACCAAAGCAAGGGUUUGGAUUACUUCCAGAUGUACUGGUACAGACAGCUGCCUGGAGAAAACAUGAAGCUAAUUGUGUUCACAACAACAGGAAAACAAGAUCACGACUUUGGAAAUUUCAGCAAAGAGAAAUUCUCAGCCACCAAGCCUGAUGUUCAGACUGGGACGUUCACAGUGAAGAAUCUGGUUCCACGAGAUAAAGGCUUGUAUUUCUGUGCUGUGAGUAAACACAGUGACACAGACACAUGUGAAAGCUGAACAAAAACCUCA